GACUGCUGUCUGAGGUACACGUACUGCAGCAUGGACUCAACACCGCAUACCAUUUUAAAAUGUGCUCUUCAGAUCCACAUUUGUUUGACAGAUAACUAAAUGUACAUUAAAUAAUCACCAACUAAAAGAAAUACAGAUGAGCUGGUGUUGGAUGGGACGCUCAUUGCUGAGAAGAAAUCAAACCUUCUGUCAACAGAUCGCUGGACUUGAGGGCCAGCAUUAGUUGGACAUGACGUCUCGCUGGCAUGCACCAAGUUCUCGUCAUCAAAGUCUCCCCAGUCGUCCCAUUCAUCUCCAAGGUCAAAGCUUACAGUCGGUAUGUG